CCUGGUGUUUCUAGGGCUAUGGCUCCACUCCAACUCCAUCUCGAACUUGGUAGUGAAACGUAGUACCGGCGAAGAUACUUUAGGGGAAGCCCUACGGGAAAAUAGCUCGAUGCCAGGA
rnacentral:rRNA from 1 species